GUAUCCUGUCUGAAUAUGGGGGGACCAUCCUCCAAGGCUAAAUACUCCUGACUGACCGAUAGUGAACCAGUACCGUGAGGGAAAGGCGAAAAGAACCCCGGCGAGGGGAGUGAAAAAGAACCUGAAACCGUGUACGUACAAGCAGUGGGAGCACGCUUAGGCGUGUGACUGCGUACCUUUUGUAUAAUGGGUCAGCGACUUAUAUUCUGUAGCAAGGUUAACCGAAUAGGGGAGCCGAAGGGAAACCGAGUCUUAACUGGGCGUUAAGUUGCAGGGUAUAGACCCGAAACCCGGUGAUCUAGCCAUGGGCAGGUUGAAGGUUGGGUAACACUAACUGGAGGACCGAACCGACUAAUGUUGAAAAAUUAGCGGAUGACUUGUGGCUGGGGGUGAAAGGCCAAUCAAACCGGGAGAUAGCUGGUUCUCCCCGAAAGCUAUUUAGGUAGCGCCUCGUGAAUUCAUCUCCGGGGGUAGAGCACUGUUUCGGCAAGGGGGUCAUCCCGACUUACCAACCCGAUGCAAACUGCGAAUACCGGAGAAUGUUAUCACGGGAGACACACGGCGGGUGCUAACGUCCGUCGUGAAGAGGGAAACAACCCAGACCGCCAGCUAAGGUCCCAAAGUCAUGGUUAAGUGGGAAACGAUGUGGGAAGGCCCAGACAGCCAGGAUGUUGGCUUAGAAGCAGCCAUCAUUUAAAGAAAGCGUAAUAGCUCACUGGUCGAGUCGGCCUGCGCGGAAGAUGUAACGGGGCUAAACCAUGCACCGAAGCUGCGGCAGCGACGCUUAUGCGUUGUUGGGUAGGGGAGCGUUCUGUAAGCCUGUGAAGGUGUGCUGUGAGGCAUGCUGGAGGUAUCAGAAGUGCGAAUGCUGACAUAAGUAACGAUAAAGCGGGUGAAAAGCCCGCUCGCCGGAAGACCAAGGGUUCCUGUCCAACGUUAAUCGGGGCAGGGUGAGUCGACCCCUAAGGCGAGGCCGAAAGGCGUAGUCGAUGGGAAACAGGUUAAUAUUCCUGUACUUGGUGUUACUGCGAAGGGGGGACGGAGAAGGCUAUGUUGGCCGGGCGACGGUUGUCCCGGUUUAAGCGUGUAGGCUGGUUUUCCAGGCAAAUCCGGAAAAUCAAGGCUGAGGCGUGAUGACGAGGCACUACGGUGCUGAAGCAACAAAUGCCCUGCUUCCAGGAAAAGCCUCUAAGCAUCAGGUAACAUCAAAUCGUACCCCAAACCGACACAGGUGGUCAGGUAGAGAAUACCAAGGCGCUUGAGAGAACUCGGGUGAAGGAACUAGGCAAAAUGGUGCCGUAACUUCGGGAGAAGGCACGCUGAUA
rnacentral:rRNA from 1 species